CUAUAUACAUUGUUUACAUAUCCCCAGGAAAGGUGAAAGGACUGCAGAGCUUGGAAAAUGCACCCUCAGCUCAGCCAGACCUUCAAUUCUCAGUUCUUCUUUAAGAACGGUCUACAAAACCGAGCGGACAGGCUCAGGAGGAAUGCAAGACUCCACGGCCUUGGUGUUUUGAGCCCUCCCCUUCCUACACAGAGGUGGGAGAUAGCAAGGAGAACAGAAGCAAUGCCAUACAUCUCAGAGAUAAGAUCGACUACCCGACCAGAGAGG
rnacentral:lncRNA from 1 species